GAUGAACGCUAGCUACAGGCUUAACACAUGCAAGUCGAGGGGCAGCAUUUUAGUUUGCUUGCAAACUAAAGAUGGCGACCGGCGCACGGGUGAGUAACACGUAUCCAACCUACCGAUAACUCUGGAAUAGCCUUUCGAAAGAAAGAUUAAUACCGGAUAGUAUACGAAUAUCGCAUGAUAUUUUUAUUAAAGAAUUUCGGUUAUCGAUGGGGAUGCGUUCCAUUAGUUUGUUGGCGGGGUAACGGCCCACCAAGACUACGAUGGAUAGGGGUUCUGAGAGGAAGGUCCCCCACAUUGGAACUGAGACACGGUCCAAACUCCUACGGGAGGCAGCAGUGAGGAAUAUUGGUCAAUGGGCGCAGGCCUGAACCAGCCAAGUAGCGUGAAGGAUGACUGCCCUAUGGGUUGUAAACUUCUUUUAUAUGGGAAUAAAGUUUUCCACGUGUGGAAUUUUGUAUGUACCAUAUGAAUAAGGAUCGGCUAACUCCGUGCCAGCAGCCGCGGUAAUACGGAGGAUCCGAGCGUUAUCCGGAUUUAUUGGGUUUAAAGGGAGCGUAGGUGGAUUGUUAAGUCAGUUGUGAAAGUUUGCGGCUCAACCGUAAAAUUGCAGUUGAAACUGGCAGUCUUGAGUACAGUAGAGGUGGGCGGAAUUCGUGGUGUAGCGGUGAAAUGCUUAGAUAUCACGAAGAACUCCGAUUGCGAAGGCAGCUCACUAGACUGUCACUGACACUGAUGCUCGAAAGUGUGGGUAUCAAAGAGGAUUAGAUACCCUGGUAGUCCACACAGUAAACGAUGAAUACUCGCUGUUUGCGAUAUACAGUAAGCGGCCAAGCGAAAGCAUUAAGUAUUCCACCUGGGGAGUACGCCGGCAACGGUGAAACUCAAAGGAAUUGACGGGGGCCCGCACAAGCGGAGGAACAUGUGGUUUAAUUCGAUGAUACGCGAGGAACCUUACCCGGGCUUAAAUUGCAGGUGCAUGGGGUGGAGACAUCCCUUUCCUUCGGGACUCCUGUGAAGGUGCUGCAUGGUUGUCGUCAGCUCGUGCCGUGAGGUGUCGGCUUAAGUGCCAUAACGAGCGCAACCCCCAUCUUUAGUUACUAACAGGUUAUGCUGAGGACUCUAGAGAGACUGCCGUCGUAAGAUGUGAGGAAGGUGGGGAGGACGUCAAAUCAGCACGGCCCCUACGUCCGGGGCUACACACGUGUUACAAUGGGGGGUACAGAAGGCAGCUACACGGCGACGUGAUGCUAAUCCCAAAAACCUCUCUCAGUUCGGAUCGAAGUCUGCAACCCGACUUCGUGAAGCUGGAUUCGCUAGUAAUCGCGCAUCAGCCAUGGCGCGGUGAAU
rnacentral:rRNA from 1 species